GAGGUGUGUAAUGUGCAAGCCCAAAAUAGUUACUUUCUUCAUUUUAUAUUAUAAGACUUUCUAGUAUUUCUAGAUUCAUUAACAUAUACUCCCUCCGUUUCGUUUUGUUUGUCGCUGUAGCUCAUUUCAAAAAGAGUCAAAAUGUUUGACGUCGUAGUACACCGGCCGAUACCGUUUCCAUCUUUACCCCUCAGUCGGCGGCGCGGAGAAGCAGGAGGAGCUCCUCCGCCGGCGGUCCUCCUGCCCCUGCCACGGCGAGGCCCUCCACGCAUGGCGCUCAAGUCCGGCGCCGCCUCCCACGCGCAUAGUCCCCUUCCGCCGACGAAGCGCCGCCGCGGCACCAUGGCCGGAGGAGGAGCCACGCUGGCGGCGGCAGCGUGGGAGAUCGCCGUCGUCUUCCGUCCUCCGGCCGCUCCUCGCCUUCGCCUUCGUCCUCUCCAUCAUCGCCCUCAGCUGAUACAUGGCGUGGAGGACGGUGCUGGUGCACGUCUCGUUGGUGCAGGAGAUCGCCGGGCUUCGAAAAGCUCCAUUGCCACAAGUCUCCUCCUUUCUUUUUUCUUUCUUCAGCUGGAUGUCCAGAAUUUACCUGAUUAUUUCAUCCGGUUAAGAUAGCUGUGCACUUGAUUGCAGAUUAAGCUACUGAACGGCCUGCAGAUUGUCUGAUUUGGUUAGCCGUAUGUUGAUUGUUGAUGUUCGUUUUUUAGAGAAUGCACAUUGCAUUUGCUUGGCUAUUUGAUGUUCAUCGAAGGGGAAAUUUUUCUGUUUCUGGGAAA